CUGCUACUCUGCUGACGAGCGGCGGACGGGUGAGUAAUGCUUGGGAAUAUGCCUUAUGGUGGGGGACAACAGUUGGAAACGACUGCUAAUACCGCAUGAUGUCUACGGACCAAAGUGGGGGACCUUCGGGCCUCACGCCAUAAGAUUAGCCCAAGUGGGAUUAGCUAGUUGGUGAGGUAAUGGCUCACCAAGGCGACGAUCCCUAGCUGGUUUGAGAGGAUGAUCAGCCACACUGGGACUGAGACACGGCCCAGACUCCUACGGGAGGCAGCAGUGGGGAAUAUUGCACAAUGGGCGCAAGCCUGAUGCAGCCAUGCCGCGUGUGUGAAGAAGGCCUUCGGGUUGUAAAGCACUUUCAGUAAGGAGGAAAGGUUAAGUGUUAAUAGCACUUAGCUGUGACGUUACUUACAGAAGAAGCACCGGCUAACUCCGUGCCAGCAGCCGCGGUAAUACGGAGGGUGCGAGCGUNAAUCGGAAUUACUGGGCGUAAAGCGUACGCAGGCGGUUUGUUAAGCGAGAUGUGAAAGC
rnacentral:rRNA from 1 species